rnacentral:lncRNA from 1 species
UCUGAAAUGAGGCCAUCAUAGUUGAAAACACCAUUGUAAACAUAGUUCCCAUCUUCGGAUCUUUCAAUCUUCAGAGCCAUUACCACCAAAUCCUUACUACGAUGGGAAGAUCAUCACGAGAACAACUUGAAGGUCUUGGCUUGAAGGAUGAUCUGCCUCAGUGCACCAAUGGGAGCUAGAAUCAUCAAUAUUAUUCCCAUAACUAUACACAUCUGAAAUUGCACAUAUUCAAACAAAGCCUAUUAAUACCCAAAAGAGAGACAGGGGCAGCCUUAAGAUAUACAGUUUGGAGUUAAUUAACAUACCCAAUUUGCAAACCAUGAUAAACUAAGCCUUCUGGGUUUGUAAACAGCAAGCCACAUGAUACAAGGGAGCUGCACAAAACCAAAAUUUAAGAUAUUAGUGCUGUAUUGUGAAGGAUAUAUAAUAGCCUAAUAUGCCUUUAAUUGGAUGUGGGAGGAUUUAUUCCUUACAAAGUAUGUUGUUGGGGCAAAAACCAAUCCUCCCAAGAAUCCAAGGAGACUACCGAAGAAAGGGAUCAGCAUACCAAUGAACAUAGUAAAAGCUGCAAUCAACCAAGAUAUAUAAGAGCAUGAAAAUAGGCUGAUGAAGCUUUGUCAUAACUCAUCCAAAGAAGGAAGAGCAUCAACCACUCACCAACAUAUAGGGUGCGGGUAAUAAGGCGAAGCCUAAAACAUGGUGUGAAUUUCAGUUUCUUCACCAACAAUGUUUCCAACAAGUCAAACAUUGGCAUUGCAUAUAUCUGCAGUUCCAAUAAGCUCGUGAGGAAAUGAAGAUUCAAUGAAAUAAAAACAUAUUAUUUGGAGAAGAUUUCGAAUUGAACCUGGUAGCUUCCAAUAACGUGGAUGACAACAAACAUGUUGGCUGCUGCUAUUAGCCAACGUGGGUUCUCCAGUGUGAUGAGGAUAUUAUCAGCAACGCUGUUCCCAAACAUCCAGUAUCCAAUCAGGGCAACAGGGAAGUAGCAGAUGGCAACAACAAUAUAAGCGAAAACGACUCCUUUCCACAUGGGUCCCUUGGAAGGCUUCUCAGGGGUGGAAGGAAUUGUUGCUUGGAUCUCCAACACCACGUUGUGACCAGCAUAGGCAAAUGCUACGUCACCCAAGGCGCUAAAGAAGGUGAAGACUCUUCCAGCUGUGGUGGAAGCUGUGUACGAAUACUGCACAUCUGGUUGGACACCCUUAUGAACCGAAGCUGUCCAAGCAAUAGUUGAGUAACUGCAGAUUGAAAGGUAAGAAAAUCAAUCUUACAGCAUGGAGAUUGUCACAGAAAGCUCACAAGAGAUAGGAAUAGAGAGACUUACGUUAAGGACAUGGCUGCGGCAGCAAAUGAGACACCACUGAUGGAGUUGAAAUUGGGCAAAUGGGAGAGAACAAAGUGACAAGAGGCAAAGAUCAUGAUGAAGUAGGUGGUUCUGAUGGGUUUGCAGUCGGGACAGACUGUGUUAUGGAGCUUCCGCAAGGAUUUGCCUCCGGUGAUCAUGUAGGCAAUGUUAACACCCACUUCUACAAUCACCUGUUGAGGCACCACAAUCCAGAGGCCAAGCUUUUCACCGAAGGCAUGCUGUCCUAACUCAUGGUAUCUGUCAAACCGCUUUCCAGGAACCAUUUCAUGCAUCUCAACCAUUUGCCAUAGAGUGUACAAUGUGACAAUCCAUGACAGAACAAGAAUAACCACCCCAGGACCCCUAAAUUUGAAAAGAGAAACGACUGCUAUGAUCAGAGCUUUUGAAGAUCGAAAAAAGAUAAAAAUCCCUUAAAUACCUACAUACUGAAAAUCCCUUAAAUAACCAAAAACAAAAGAGGAGACAAAAUCUCUGUAAACAGAAUCAAAACCCAAUUUCAGGACAAUAAAGCUUUUAUAUUCAAAGUAAAAGCUGAAGGAAUUUCAUUUUUAGGAAUGAAAGAAACAGGAAACAUACCAUCCGAGCCCUGCCACGGCGUAAGGGAGACUGAGGACGCCAGCCCCAACCAUGGCGGUCACAUUGUGGAAUGCAGAGUACCACCAUUUCGCGUUCCGGGAGGACGUGAUCGGAAGCCAAUCAUCAAUGGCCCUGUCUCUAGCAUCCUUCUCCUGCUGACUAUCAAGCCCCAUUUUUCCCAACAAAUUGAAGAAACUGGCCAGGGAUAUUUCAGACCCUGAUGCAGAGACGACAACUGUUGAAGGGCUUUGAUGAGUGAUGGUUUAUUUCAGCGUAAAACAUCGAAAUAUAUAGAGAUUGAAGGAGAUGAAGAAAAGAUAAUGGGCAAAUAUAGUGUUAACAGUUCGGAUGGUUUUGAUGUUUCAGAUGUUUCAGUUGUUAAAUUACCAAAAGGGCCUGAUUUCUCUACGUUUAGUCUUUACAGAUUCGACUAAUUGGUGAGAGAGUAUCUGGGGUUUAAAUGUCCAUUCAUCUCUGAGGAGUCGUGUCCGCGGCGGCAUAUUUUACAGCUUCAAUGUUUUUAACCUCUUUUCUAUGUUUUGUAUAAUUAUUUUUUAAAAUAACCUCCAAAAAUUAACUAAGUUUUUAAUUAAGGCAUUCUACUACAUAAAUCAAGUUAAAUCCGAUUCAAAUAAUAAUCGUGUCAAAAAUAUAACUCAAAUACUAUCUAAUUAUUAAAUAGGUAACACCUCGUGUAACCCAUUUAUUAAUCUAAGUCCUUCUAUUUAAUAAUUAUGCUAAACUAGAUCUUAUAUAAGUCUAUAUACUUAAUAUUUUAGCCAAACAUAUUUAUUACUCAAUUAAUCUAUUUAUUUAAAAAUAAAUUUAAAAUUAGUUAAAUAUGAACCAAAUAGUUUAAAAUUAUACUUAAGUUAGUCAACAUGGUCAAUUCGUGUCAAAUUCAUGUUAUGCAAGUUGACCAAAAACCUACCUAUUUAUUAAACAAAUUAUGUAAAUUGAUACAAAUUUGACCAAAACCUAAUUAUAUUUAACCUAAUUUGAAAAAAAAACAUGUUGAUGAAUCAUAUCAAACUUUGCCACGUUGACCUAACAUGCUUUAAAAAAUAAAUCAUAUAAUUAGGUAAUUAUAUCUCUAUUUUUAAAAUUCACAUAAAUAGAAGUAUCCAACCGACACGUUUCAUACCAAAUUUAUUUUUCAAAAAAUUGCUUCAAAGUGUGGAAAUCCUCAGGCAUCAAUCAUCAUAUAUGAAACAACAUGGAGUCCAAUAUUUUUUCGAGAUUAAUAUGAAUUAUAAUAUUUUUUUAAGGUGUUUUUUUGUCUUCCUUUUGCAAUAAGUUUGUCAUUUCAUUCGCAAGAAACAAGAAUCAGAUUUUUAAAAAUCUAUUUUUCUAAAAUAAAUUGUUUCUACAAAAUGCAUUGGAAAUUGAACAUGAUUUUUUUUUUAUAAUUGGUAUUUUCUUAAUAAUAAAAUUUCCAAUAUUAUAUGUAAAAGGUGUGAAACCUGCUUUUAUAUGUAUAGAAACUCUAUUGCAAAUAGAAAAUCCUAAUCGUUAUCUAUUUCCAAAACGAAAUACAAAGUUUCCAAAAAAUGCAGUAUCCUAUUUAGAAGAAAUCUCUUCUAAAAUAAAAUAUAUUCAUUCUUUCCUUCAUUCCUAUAUUUAACUAAUUUCAGGUUUUCUAUUUCUAUUUUAGGUAAGCAUAUAACCUACUAAACCCUAUAUAUAAUGAUAUAGAAUUAAUAAUUUUUAGGAAACAAAUCUACACCUUAGUUUUUCGUGUAGUCAAUAUGUCAAAUCUUUCUACUACCAUUAAAUUCAAGAAAAAAAAAAUGGUUAUUGUUUUACCAUUAAAUCUCUUCCGAGUGACUUAUUGAUAAAGACUCUUACUCGGGUUGUAUCAUCUUUAUUUGCAGACUUGUUCAAUACAAAAUUAAGGUAUGUUUAUAAUAAUUAUACAUACAUUUAAUUUAUUAUUAUUUUUAAAUAUUAAUCUAUAUGUUUUGUUUUUAUUUUAGUUGUAAAAAUUUUCUUGAAACAUCCAAGAAUAAGUUCAUAAUGAAGAAUAUCCCCAUAUAGAAAUUUUCAACAAUUCCAUGGAGGCAAGUAAAUGAUGAAGUCUCUUCAUUUUUUAAAGCUUGCAAAGAAAGUGGAAAUUUGGAAGCAUUAUAUGGACAAGGAAUAGUAAAAAAUUUAAUUUUUAACAAUGAGAAAAUUAGAAAACAUGAAAAUCCAUUUUUCUUUAAUUAUUCUUCUUGUUUGAAAUAGAUGGGAUUCUUUAUUUGGAAGAAAAUGGAAUCGAAGGAUGAAUAUCUAAAGAAAGCAAUGGAGAUGGGGCACAUGGAGGCAUUUUUCGUUGAUGAUUCAUAAUUCAUUUUUGUAGGGGAAAAAAAAAACUUGUUUUAAGCGUGUAAAUAAAAUUUAUUCAAAGAAAUAUUUCUCUUCUUGGUUUUUUUUUACUCUUUGAGCUCUAAUAAUAAAAUAUUAUAUUGAGUUAAUAAAUAAUAUGAUGAAAAUGGUAUAAUUUGCAUUUUUACCCAAGUAUAAUUUGCAUCAUUUGGGCCUUCCAGUGGAGGCAGUUACUCUCGUCUAAGUAUGGUGGACUGUUUAGUGGAGCCCCAAAUUUCUAUUAUUCCAUUUUGGACUUGCAGGUUCAAUAAAAAUUUGAUUUUUAUUUGAAAAACUCAUAUUAAUACCAAUUAAAAAACUGUUGUUCAGUAGGAUAACACCAGAUGGAUUGAAUGUGUAUAUUUAAAAAAAUUAUAAUAUAAGAAUUAAUUAUUUUAAUCCAAUUUAAUACUAGAAAAUAUCAAAUAAACAAAAUUACCAAACAUCAACUAAAUAAAUAAGUGAUAUAAGAAUUUUUACAAGGAAAACCUGUACACCAACUGUGGAGAUAAAAAAUAACGAGAUCUAAGACCUCUAAUAUAAGAUUCACUAGAUAAAGUAAUACAAAAUUACCUCACAGCUUGCUUUUAAGACAUACUCUCCAAAACUUAUAACUUGAUCCUCAUCUAUGACACAACAAUUUUCAAUUGCUUUAGUGAAUUUUUCUUUACCUCGUUAAAGGGAUAUAGGUCUUCUAACAACCUGAGAUUCAAAUUUUGAGUCUUUGUUAAGAGAUCGAGAAUGAUAAGGUAGGUUAGGUUGAGUCUUUCUCAAUGUGUCCAAUCCUAAUGGGUUAAAGGAGGAUUUAUAGAGGUCCAUAGGCCUACAAGAUCGGUAUCCCAAAUUUCUAAAAAGAAUACUAGUGAAUUUUAAAAAUAUAAUCUAUCGACAUGAUGACCGCUCGAGCACCAAACACUUGAGCUUGAGCAUUGGAUAAGCCCUUGAGCAAUUCCAAUGCUUGAGCUCGAGCAUCCUUGUUUUUCCAAAAUAUUAAUUUAAGCAUUUUUUAAUUUAAAGAAAAUGCACUAAUCCAUUUUAACCCUUAACCACUUAACUUGUACUAAACAAAUCUUUUUAGACUUACUUGUGACUUUCUCCAAUAACAAUCUUGAAUCUCCAAUGGAGAAUAAGUCACUAUUUAAAAAUAUUUUCUAAACCAAAAAAUAUUGAAACAAAAUUGCCAACAUACAAUAUACUAGAUUCAUUGUUCUAGAAAAUCAUAUUAAAAUUUUGUUUAAUAAUGGUAAUUCUAGUAAGUGGAUUUUUAAUAAAUAAUUAAAUAAAUAAUUUAAAACAUUUCCUUUUCAAAAUUAACUAGCAAUUUUCAAUAUAAACUAAAUUAGUUGUCACCUUAUAACCUUUUUUAGAAAUUCAUUGCACAUUAUUUUUAAAUUAUUAAAUUAAUUUGUCAAAAUCAUUCUUAAAUUGUUAUAUUAUCAAUAUACUUCGAAGAUGUUAGGUAAAAUUUAAUAAUUAAUACUUAUUAUUUAAUAAUCUAGAUUGAUUUUAAGUUACCCUUUCCACAUUUUUCCAUGUAUCCACAACAUGUCACCACCGUAUCGAAGAUUGCAUAUAACUCAAAUAUAGACAAACUAUACACAGAGAGAUUUGGAUUGUUUAUGAACUUAAAAUAAGAUUAUAUCAACAUGAAUCGAUUGCGCAAAUGUACUGAGUCACUAAAUAGAAACUAGCCUAUGAGAAACAACACCAAAAGGCCAACAAAGUCACAAUCCCUUACAUCCAACAAUCCAUCUCAUUCUAUUUUCCUAAGUACUAUUUUGCUUCUUAUUUAUGUUAUAUUUAAAACCACCUAUGAAUAUGAAUUGUAAUCUCUGUUCUCAACCACAUAUUUUUAGUUCAUGAAUCCAUACUAAAAGCUGCAAUCAACGAAGAUAUAUAAGAACAUGCAAAUAGGCUAAUGAAGCUUUGUCAUAACUCGUCCAAAGAAAGAAGAGCAUCAACCACUCACCAACAUAUAGAGUGUGAGUAAUAAGAGGAAGCCUGAAACAUGGCCUGAAAUUCAGUUUCUUCACCAACAAUGUUUCCAACAUGUCAAACACUGGCGUUGCCGCAAACUUAUGAGGAAAUGAAAGAUUAAGUGAAAUCAAACAUAGUAUUUGCAGAAGUUAGAAUUUUCAAUUGCACGUGGUAGCGUCCAAUAACAUGGAUGAUAACAAACAUGUUGGCUGCUGCUAUAAGCCAACAUGGUUUCUCCAGUGUGAUGAGGAUAUUAUCAGCAAUGCUGUACCCAAACAUUCAGUAUCCAAUCAGAGCAACAGGGAAGUAGCACAAGGAAACAACAAUAUAAGCAAAAAUCACCCCUUUCCACAUGGGUCCCUUGGAAGGCUUCCAAGGGGUGGAAGGAAUUGUUGCAUGGAUCUCCAACACCACAUUGUGACCAGCAUUGGCAAAUGCUACAUCACCCAAGGUGCUAAAGAAGGUGAAGACUCUUCCAGUUGUGGUCAAAGCUGUGUAUGUAUACUGCACAUCUGGUUGGACACCUUUAUGAACCAAAGCUGUCCAGGCAAUAGUUGAGUAAUUGCAGAUCGAAAGCUCCAUAAGAUAAGAACCUUUCAAUCACCAUUGGUGAAGGUGAAAAGGCUAUUGACAUAUUUGAAGGAAUUCAGGUCAAAUGGGACAUGGUUUAUACCAAGAAGCAGUCCAAUGAAGGCAUAGAUUAUGAACCAAGAUCAAUAGAGCUUAGUUUCCCUAAGAAAAACAUGAAAAAGAUACUGAGCUCCAACUUGCCAUAUGUGGUAGAGAGAUCAGAAGCCUUCAAACAAGAAAACAAGGUGCUGAAGCUCUAUUCAUACUGUGGGUCAUGGGAAUCAACCAACCUCAACCAUUCAUCAACUUUUGAAACACCAGCAAUGGAUUCAAAGCUCAAGCAGGACUUGAUAAAUGACUUAGAUCGAUUUGUCAAAAGAAAGUACUAUAAAGGAGUUGGAAGGGCAUGGAAACGAGGAUAUUUGUGGUACCUCCAGGCACUGGCCAACUAUGACUUGAAAUUUCACAUCUGCGACUUAGGGCUCAGCAGUCUCUGUUGCAACUCAAGAGUUUAGAAGACUGUUAGUCACAACCAGGAACCAAUCAAUACUUGUGAUUGAAGAUAUUGACUGCAGCGGUGAGCUGCAGGGCCAACAAGCUAAAGAGCAUAAUCUAAAUGACAGCCAGGUGAGUUUAUAAGGAUUCACCUUCAUGAAGCCCUAAAUUUUUAUUAUUAUUGCAAUAAUGAUGUUUUUCUUCUUCCUCUAAAUUCUCACUUCUGAAAAACUAAUAAUCCCUACAUAACAAGAACAGAGUAUAAGUGCAUAAUUUGGUGGAAGAACAUAAAUAUUACUAGACAUACCCGUUUUUCCCCCUUCAUAAACUGUUUCUUAUUUGUUAUUGACAGUUGACCCCAACAGCGAUUGCAGAAGAGCUCAUGAAAAGUGAAGAAGCUGACAGUGCCCUUGGAAAACUUGUUCCGCAAAAGGGUAAAGACAGCACAAAAUGAAGCAACUAAUGGAGAAGAUAAAGAAGCGAACAAAAAGGGAAAUGAAAGUCCAGUAAUUGACCAAAGUAAGAAGAAAGCUAAAAGAAAUAUGCCGAUAGUAAGGAAACAGAAAAGGAAGGUGAGGAUUAAGGAGAUGGUAAGAACCAAAUAACAAUUCAAAAAGCUAUCAGAGUACUAGUGCUCCAUAACUUCAUGCUUUUAUUAAUCGUCUCUGAGAGCUGUAAAUAAUGGGCCUAUACUUAUUAGUACCCAAUAAAAUCAAACUUCUAUAAUUAGCAUGGUUCUGAUCAGUCAACUGAACAUUAUUUACCACUUUACACAAAGUGUUUGAAGACAUUAAAAUCGACAAAUCAGCAUAUUCUAAUCCAACAUCCAACUAGGCUUACCAGGUUUACUCCAGCCGCACCGGACAACAUUACAGCACAGAAGUAGUCUGUUGAAUCUAUCAUGAAUAUUAAAUAUCAAAGCCUUCAUCAGUAUCAAAUUGAGUCAUCCCAACACCACCCACUUGCAACAACACAUGGGUAAUUGCAUCAUAAAAAUCAAAAUCAGACAGCACCCAAAUUGAGAACAGAAACUGAAUGAAGGGAGUCAUGAUUGAAGAGUUCAGUCAUGAUAACGUUCGAGUGCCUAAAAUUAAACAUUUCACUACAUGUCUCUGUCAAACCAUUUGUCAAACAUGUGACAUGCAUACAGAAACAUCCUUGACACAGACCUUAAAACCAAAAUCGAACCUCAAAUUAACCACAAUAUCCUUCAUUUCACAUUUUCACCUCAAUUUAAGAUUGCCGCUAUUGAUAUACCUGAUGAUAAUUACAGACCAAGGCAAAGUAAAACAAGCAGAAUGAAUCUUACGUAAAAAAUCAACAACGCAGAUAAAACUUUGAGAGCUGAAUUGGGGCAGGGGUCGCGCGAACGCGAACCCCCUCUACCACAAAUUAUGACGUAGACUCUGCCACUUGGGCAGAUCUUAGGGCAGUGCCCCUCCCAAGUGCAAUGGAGGUCACUGUCCUAGGCCAUGACUCUUCUUGAUCGGCCAUAGACCCCGUCCAGGUAAGUAUGUUGAUGGUGAACCGUCUCGUUUGAUUUAUACCACUCUAUCACCUUAUUACUCUGACUCUUGCCGAUGUGGGACUCCACAGCUACUCUUCACACCCUUAAUUUUCGAAUUUGCAGUUCUUUCAAUAUUCAAAACUUUCAAAUUAUACACCUAAUUGAAAGUAAGAAAUUUUACAGAUUUAAAUUUUAAAAUAAAAUAUUAUAAAAUUUUUAAAAUAAAACAUAAAAGUUUUCAAAUUAUACACAUGGGUAUUUAAAAACUAAAAAUGGAAGUCACUAAAAAACAUGGUCAUACAAUGGAAUAAAAGAGUUAAAAUACUUCAUAAAUACUAUUGUAAAAAACAUAAGUAAAAAUGAAUUAUAUUAGUGUCUUACUAGUUAAUUUUGCAUAAAGGAAUUAUCGUCUAUUCAUUUAUAAAAGUAAGUAUCAUCACGUUGUACCUUAAACUUGAUAUUAUAUCUAACGUGAAAUAAAACUGAUGCCACUCAAGCACCUUGAAUAGUCGUACAAUCAUUUUAUUUAUUCACUUAUUUACUUAUUUUAUUUUGAUUGCUAAAUUAUUUUACAAAGAAUAAAUAAGAAAGAGAAUAAAGUUUCAUUUAAAUCAUUUUAUCACAUGAUUUAAAAAUUGUGGAAAGUUAAUUUUUGUGGAAAUUAUUUUUUUAAAGUAUUAAAGUUGUUUGACAAAACUAAUUUAAAAUUUAUUUUAAAUUAUUAAAUUAAUAUAUUUAUCAUCGUUAAUUUUAAGUUAUUAAGUUGUGAAUAUGAAUUAUUACCCUUUUUUAAUAUUUCCAUGCAUCCACACAUGUCAACCCCAUAUUAAAGAUUGCAAAUGACUCAAAUAUAAAUAAACUAUACACAGAUAAAUUUGAAUUAUUGAUGAAAUUAACAAAAUAAAAAUGAUAUCAACAUGAAUUGGUUGCGCAGAUAGAACAAGUCACUAAAUAGAAAUUAGUCUAUGAAAAACGAUACAAAGGUCCAACAAAUCAAUGUAGAACGGAGAAUCGUAAGCCCUACAUCCAACAAUUUAUCUUAUACCAUUUUCUUGGAUCAUAUUUGAGUCUACAUUUUUAACUUAAUUAUUAUUUAUGUUAUAUUUAAAAUCAUCUAUCAAUGUGAAUUGUCAUUUCUAUUGCCAACCAUAUAUGUUUUGAUCAUAUAUAUAAAGUUUCAUGUGAAUUCCCAUCUUCAGAUCUUUCAAUCUUCGGAGCCAUUACUACCAUACAAUGGGAAGAUCAUCACGAGAACAACUUGAAGGUCUUGGCUUGAAGGAUGAUCUGCCUUAGUGCACCAAUGGGAGCUAGAAUCAUCAAUAUUAUUCCCAGUACUAUACACAUCUGAAAUUGCACAUAUUCAAACAAAGC